rnacentral:rRNA from 1 species
CCUACGGGUGGCAGCAGUGAGGAAUAUUGGUCAAUGGACGAGAGUCUGAACCAGCCAAGUAGCGUGAAGGAUGACUGCCCUAUGGGUUGUAAACUUCUUUUAUAUGGGAAUAAAAUGUUCCACGUGUGGGAUUUUGUAUGUACCAUAUGAAUACGGAUCGGUUAACUCCGUGCUAGCAGCCGCGGUAAUACGGAGGAUCCGACCGUUAUCCGGUUUUAUUGUGUUUAAAGGGAACGUAGGUGGAUUGUUAAGUCAGUUGUGAAAGUUAGCGGCUCAACCGGAACAUUGCCGUGGAAACUGGGGGCCUUGAGUGGGCGAGAAGAAGGCGGAAUGCGUGGUGUAGCGGUGAAAUGCAUAGAUAUCACGCAGAACCCCGAUUGCGAAGGCAGCCUUCCGGCGCCCUACUGACGCUGAGGCACGAAAGUGCGGGGAUCGAACAGGAUUAGAUACCCCGGUAGUC